CAGUAGCCACGGUAAUACAGAGGGUGCAAGCGUUAAUCGGAAUUACUGGGCGUAAAGCGCGCGUAGGUGGUUUGUUAAGUUGGAUGUGAAAGCCCCGGGCUCAACCUGGGAACUGCAUCCAAAACUGGCAAGCUAGAGUACGGUAGAGGGUGGUGGAAUUUCCUGUGUAGCGGUGAAAUGCGUAGAUAUAGGAAGGAACACCAGUGGCGAAGGCGACCACCUGGACUGAUACUGACACUGAGGUGCGAAAGCGUGGGGAGCAAACAGGAUUAGAUACCCGAGUAGUCCCUGUCUCUUAUAC
rnacentral:rRNA from 1 species